rnacentral:rRNA from 1 species
AUUGAACGCUGGCGGCAUGCUUUACACAUGCCAGUCGAACGGCAGCGGGGUAGUGCUUGCACUACUGCCGGCGAGUGGCGAACGGGUGAGUAAUAUAUCGGAACGUACCGAGUAAUGGGGGAUAACCAAUCGAAAGAUUGGCUAAUACCGCAUACGUCCUGAGGGAGAAAGCGGGGGAUCGCAAGACCUCGCGUUAUUCGAGCGGCCGAUAACUGAUUGGCUUGUUGGUGGGGUAAAGGCCUACCAAGGCGACGAUCAGUAGCGGGUCUGAGAGGACGAUCCGCCACACUGGGACUGAGACACGGCCCAGACUCCUACGGGAGGCAGCAGUGGGGAAUUUUGGACAAUGGGGGCAACCCUGAUCCAGCCAUGCCGCGUGUAUGAAGAAGGCCUUCGGGUUGUAAAGUACUUUUGUUAGGGAAGAAAAGGGAAGUGCUAAUACCACUUUUUGCUGACGGUACCUAAAGAAUAAGCACCGGCUAACUACGUG